rnacentral:rRNA from 1 species
UGCAUGUUGCCGCACCCUGAUCUAGCCAUGCCGCGUGUGUGAUGAAGGCCUUAGGGUCGUAAAGCACUUUCGCCAGGGAUGAUAAUGACAGUAUCUGGUAAAGAAACCCCGGCUAACUCCGUGCCAGCAGCCGCGGUAAUACGGAGGGGGUUAGCGUUGUUCGGAAUUACUGGGCGUAAAGCGCACGUAGGCGGAUUAGUAAGUUAGAGGUGAAAUCCCAGGGCUCAACCCUGGAACUGCCUUUAAUACUGCUAGUCUUGAGUUCGAGAGAGGUAAGUGGAAUUCCAAGUGUAGAGGUGAAAUUCGUAGAUAUUUGGAGGAACACCAGUGGCGAAGGCGGCUUACUGGCUCGAAACUGACGCUGAGGUGCGAAAGUGUGGGGAGCAAACAGGAUUAGAUACCCUGGUAGUCCACACCGUAAACGAUGAAUGCCAGACGUCAGCAAGUAUACUUGUUGGUGUCACACCUAACGGAUUAAGCAUUC